ensembl:snRNA U4 U4 spliceosomal RNA
AUUCUUGUGCAGAGACAAUUUCAUAGUCUAUGAAGUUCUACUGAGACGUGAUUAUUGCUGGUUGAAAACUUUAACCAAUUCCCGCCUGGAUGAUUUGAAACACAGUCAGCUAUGGCAAUUUUUGCUAGUCUCUCAGGAGA